UUCGAAGCUGUUGUGAUGUUUCGAAGAUCCGGAAAUAUUUAACCGUUAGUUCAUCCUGAAUUUUUGAUAUGUUAUGAAAGAGUUGAUGAGGAACAACUUCAAUGAAGAAAGCAUGCCGAUCUGAACAAUAGAAAAUGGAGUUUCGAAGCUCACAACAAAUCUGACGGGUUGACAGAAAAAUAAUAACCAGUCAUUCAUCAUACCUGGAUUUCUGGAGUUAUACUGCUCCGAGGGAUCUCAAAUUUGGAUAUGUUGUAGUUCACAAGCUGAGGAACAACUUCAAUGAAGAAAGUAUGUUGAUCUGAACAAGAGAAAAUGGAAUUUCGAAGCUCACAACAAAUCUGACGGGUUGACAGAAAAAUAAUAACCAGUCAUUCAUCAUACCUGGAUUUCUGGAGUUAUACUGCUCCGAGGGAUCUCAAAUUUGGAUAUGUUGUAGUUCACAAGCUGAGGAACAACUUCAAUGAAGAAAGUAUGUUGAUCUGAA
rnacentral:lncRNA from 1 species